rnacentral:rRNA from 1 species
UGGUCUUGACAUCCCACAACUUUCCAAAGAUGGAUUGGUGCCUUCGGGAACUGUGAGACAGGUGCUGCAUGGCUGUCGUCAGCUCGUGUUGUGAAAUGUUGGGUUAAGUCCCGCAACGAGCGCAACCCUUAUCCUUUGUUGCCAGCGGUCCGGCCGGGAACUCAAAGGAGACUGCCAGUGAUAAACUGGAGGAAGGUGGGGAUGACGUCAAGUCAUCAUGGCCCUUACGACCAGGGCUACACACGUGCUACAAUGGCGCAUACAAAGAGAAGCGACCUCGCGAGAGCAAGCGGACCUCAUAAAGUGCGUCGUAGUCCGGAUUGGAGUCUGCAACUCGACUCCAUGAAGUCGGAAUCGCUAGUAAUCGUGGAUCAAAAUGCCACGGUGAAUACGUUCCCGGGGCUUGUACACACCG